UAUUCGAUAAGUCAUAACGACUCUCAGCAACGGAUAUCUCGGCUCUCGCAUCGAUGAAGAAGGUAGCAAAAUGCGAUACGUGGUGUGAAUUGCAGGAUCCCGUGAACCAUCGAGUUUUUGAACGCAAGUUGCGCCCGAAGCCUUUAGGCCGAGGGCACGUCUGCC
rnacentral:rRNA from 1 species